rnacentral:lncRNA from 1 species
GACUUACUUUUGAGGAAAUCUUGCUUCAUGGCUUAAAUUCUCACUAACUACAUGGAAUAUUCAACAGGCAGCCAUUUCUUUUGCAGAAAGUUGGCCCAAAAAGGUUAAAAAUAACACUCUCGGUCCCCAGUGAGUAGGUCACCCAGGUUUGGGAAAGUGGCCACCCCUCCCAGGCUCAGUGCUCUGCCCCUCAGCCUCCAGGAGGCGCUCUCCCACACAUGGAUCCAGUCCCUUCUUUCACAUCCUUGUUUCAGAACCUUCAAGGACUGACUGCCCGUUCCUCGUGGGACACACCACUUGUUUCACACGACUUACCGGGAUAUCUUUUGGAUCUGGCCCUAAGUGCACCGCCAGCCUCACCUGCUGGACUCCCAGGCACCAUGCUGCAUCCCAGACAUCCUGGGUUCCUAUGUCCACCUCGCCUACUCUUCACCUUGUCCUCCAAUACUGUAGAGUCUGGCUCUCCCCACCACCCUGCUGCUGGUGUGUAGCUGUAUCAGAGACAUUGCCUGGGAAGACCACGUGGGACCAGCUGUGUCUGAAACUCUGCUGAUUCUCAGGUGGGAUUAUGUGGGGAGCAAAAUUGUCAGGCCUGGGAUUUAAAGGACUAUUCACAUCAUGAGAGCUCUCUAG